rnacentral:rRNA from 1 species
CUUUACUGUAGCCUGGAAUUGGGUCCGGGCUUCGCUUGCGCAGGAUAGGUGGGAGGCACUGAAACACUCCUUGUGGGGAGUGUGGAGCCAACGGUGAGAUACCACUCUAGCGAGGCUAGGAUUCUAACCUUAGCCCCUCAACGGGGUGAGGGACCGUUUCAGGCGGGCAGUUUGACUGGGGCGGUCGCCUCCUAAAAGGUAACGGAGGCGCGCAAUGGUGCUCUCAGGCUGGUUGGAAAUCAGCCCGUGAAGUGCAAAGGCAUAAGGGAGCUUGACUGCAAGAGCCACACCUCGAGCAGGGACGAAAGUCGGCCUUAGUGAUCCGACGGCGCUGAGUGGAAGGGCCGUCGCUCAACGGAUAAAAGUUA